CCCUUAGAUGUUCUGGGCCGCACGCGCGCUACAAUGAUGAAUUCAACGAGUUUAUAACCUUGGUUGAAAAGCCUGGGUAAUCUUUUGAACUUUCGUCGUGAUGGGGCUAGACCCUUGCAAUUAUUGGUCUCCAACGAGGAAUUCCUAGUAAACGCGAGUCAUCAGCUUGCAUUGAUUACGUCCCUGCCCUUUGUACACACCGCCCGUCGCACCUACCGAUUGAAUGGUCCGGUGAAAUCUUCGGAUUGAGACUUUGAUUUCUUCACGGAAAACGCUGUUUUAAAAAGUUGAUUAAACCUUACCAUUUAGAGGAAGGUGAAGUCGUAACA
rnacentral:rRNA from 1 species